rnacentral:rRNA from 1 species
GGUAACUUAGUCUUCUAAUCACAAUAAGUGGAUCAAUCAUUCACUCAUCUGUGUUCUUUAAAAAGAAAAGUUAAUUUUAUCUUCCUGUCACCCCAACAGAAUAGCUUUUAAGUAUGACCCAACUCUACCUAACUUUGUUGUACUUAUACACUAUAAAGAUCUAUAGGGUCUUCUCGUCCUCCAAUUACAUUUCAGCCUUUUCACUGAAAAGUUAAAUUCAAUAAUGGUCCAAAUGAGACAGCUCGUACCUCGUCCAACCCUUCAUGCCAGCCUUUAAUUAAAAGACUAAUGAUUAUGCUACCUUUGCACGGUCAAAAUACCGCGGCCCUUCAACUUUCAGUGGGCAGGUCAGACCUCUUAGAUAAUCAAGAGGCG